GACAGAGGGUGCAAACGUUGCUCGGAAUUACUGGGCGUAAAGCGCGUGUAGGUGGAUUGGUGUGUCAGAUGUGAAAGCCCUGGGCUCAACCCAGGAACUGCACCUGAAACUACCAGUCUUGAGUGGUGGAGAGGGAAGUGGAAUUCCUGGUGUAGAGGUGAAAUUCGUAGAUAUCAGGAGGAACACCAGUGGCGAAGGCGGCCUCCUGGAUCGAUACUGACGCUGAGGCGCGAAAGCGUGGGGAGCAAACAGG
rnacentral:rRNA from 1 species